UACGUAGGGUGCGAGCGUUGUCCGGAAUUAUUGGGCGUAAAGGGCUCGUAGGCGGUUUGUCGCGUCUGCUGUGAAAAUCCAGGGCUCAACCCUGGACCUGCAGUGGGUACGGGCAGACUAGAGUGCGGUAGGGGAGAUCGGAAUUCCUGGUGUAGCGGUGAAAUGCGCAGAUAUCAGGAGGAACACCGGUGGCGAAGGCGGAUCUCUGGGCCGUAACUGACGCUGAGGAGCGAAAGCAUGGGGAGCGAACAGG
rnacentral:rRNA from 1 species